UACGAAGGGGGCUAGCGUUGCUCGGAAUCACUGGGCGUAAAGCGCACGUAGGCGGACUCUUAAGUCAGGGGUGAAAUCCUGGAGCUCAACUCCAGAACUGCCUUUGAUACUGAGAGCCUUGAGUCCGGAAGAGGUAAGUGGAACUGCGAGUGUAGAGGUGAAAUUCGUAGAUAUUCGCAAGAACACCAGUGGCGAAGGCGGCUCACUGGUCCGAUACUGACGCUGAGGCACGAAAGCGUGGGGAGCAAACAGG
rnacentral:rRNA from 1 species